AUUGAACGCUGGCGGCAGGCUUAACACAUGCAAGUCGAGCGGGGAAAGGUAGCUUGCUACCUGACCUAGCGGCGGACGGGUGAGUAAUGCUUAGGAAUCUGCCUAUUAGUGGGGGACAACAUCUCGAAAGGGAUGCUAAUACCGCAUACGUCCUACGGGAGAAAGCAGGGGACCUUCGGGCCUUGCGCUAAUAGAUGAGCCUAAGUCGGAUUAGCUAGUUGGUGGGGUAAAGGCCUACCAAGGCGACGAUCUGUAGCGGGUCUGAGAGGAUGAUCCGCCACACUGGGACUGAGACACGGCCCAGACUCCUACGGGAGGCAGCAGUGGGGAAUAUUGGACAAUAGGGGGAACCCUGAUCCAGCCAUGCCGCGUGUGUGAAGAAGGCCUUUUGGUUGUAAAGCACUUUAAGCGAGGAGGAGGCUACCGAGAUUAAUACUCUUGGAUAGUGGACGUUACUCGCAGAAUAAGCACCGGCUAACUCUGUG
rnacentral:rRNA from 1 species